GAGCAUUUUGUAUAUGAAGAACAGAGUGACAGGAAGAAGAAAGAGCACCAGGCUGAGCACCAUUCGACCUCCACUAAUACACGUCUGACCUUGUUCAAGCCCCUUCGCAUCUCUGGCUCAGGUUCCCCUAUUAAGUGCAAAUCACAGCAGUAACUCAACAAGACAUGGGACUCAAAAAUCUAAAUGACAUCUCAACAACAUGUGAUUGUACCCAGGCAUUUCCCCCUGGGAGCACCAAAGGGAAGAAGGUAAUUUUUCGGUCUUUUGGAAGCUGUGCCCUGGUGCCAAGAUGCCUCAAGCCAAAACCACACAGAGCAGCCUGCCUGACAGAUGGGCCCAGUAGCCUUUAUCAAGCUCUUAGGCUCUUAUGAGCUUCCCUACUUGCGAAUUAAACAUAAAUUUAUCCUUUGCGGCUCUUUCAUAAA
rnacentral:lncRNA from 10 species